UGUUUUCAGAGCAUGAAUACCAGGUUAUUAUCUGUUUUCAGAGCAUGAAUACCAGGUUAUUAUCUGUUUUCAGAGCAUGAAUACCAGGUUAUCUGUUUUCAGAGCAUGAAGACCAGGUUAUCUGUUUUCAGAGCAUGAAUACCAGGUUAUUAUCUGUUUUCAGGGCAUGAAUACCAGGUUAUCUGUUUUCAGAGCAUGAAGACCAGGUUAGUAUCUGUUUUCAGAGCAUGAAGACCAGGUUAUCUGUUUUCAGAGCAUGAAUACCAGGUUAUUAUCUGUUUUCAGAGCAUGAAUACCAGGUUAUUCUGUUUUCAGAGCAUGAAGACCAGGUUAUCUGUUUUCAGAGCAUGAAGACCAGGUUAUCUGUUUUCAGAGCAUGAAUACCAGGUUAUUAUCUGUUUUCAGAGCAUGAAGACCAGGUUAUUAUCUGUUUUCAGAGCAUGAAUACCAGGUUAUUAUCUGUUUUUAGAGCAUGAAGACCAGGUUAUUAUCUGUUUUCAGAGCAUGAAGACUAGGUUAUUAUCUGUUUUCAGGGCAUGAAGACCAGGUUAUUAUUUGUUUUCAGAGCAUGAAGACCAGGUUAUUAUCUGUUUUCAGAGCAUGAAGACCAGGUUAUCUGUUUUCAGAGCAUGAAUACCAAGUUAUUAUCUGUUUUCAGAGCAUGAAUAAGUGUAUGAUAUUUAUUUUAUUUGCAUUUGCAGUCUGUAAGAUUGCCCUAAAGCACCAUGGGUCUCUGGUCAAAAGCAGUGCACUAUUUAGGGAAUAGGGUGCCAUUUGGGACCUAUACAGGUGGUGAAAGGUCAUGCCAUGGACAUAAGACAUAAGCAUGGUCUUAAUUGGUCGAACUCUAACCACCAGUCAGCUCCAUCGGUUUCUGUUGGAAUGAAGAGGGACUCAAAAAGCCCUGACAUUUAGGCCAGCUGACGCUGUUAUAUUGUAUAUCUACUACAUUAUGGAGGGAACUGGUGUCACGUUCUGACCUUAGUUCUUUUAUUUAUGUCUUUGUUUUAGUAUGGUCAGGGCGUGAGUUGGGUGGGUUGUCUAUGUUCCUUUUUCUAUGUUUUAGGAUUUCUGUGUUUGGCCUGGUAUGGUUCUCAAUCAGAGGCAGCUGUCAAUCGUUGUCCCUGAUUGAGAACCAUACUUGAAGAGGUAGCCUGUUUGUCCCUGAUCGAGAACCAUCCUUAGGGAGCCUGGUUGUCCCUGAUCGAGAACCAUACUUAGGUAG